UACGUAGGGGGCGAGCGUUGUCCGGAGUUACUGGGCGUAAAGCGUGCGUAGACGGCUAUCUAAGUCGGGUGUGAAAGCCCCGGGCUCAACCUGGGAAUUGCAUUCGAGACUGAAUAGCUAGGGUGCGGUAGAGGGAAGCGGAAUUUCCGGUGUAGCGGUGAAAUGCGUAGAUAUCGGAAGGAACAUCAGUGGCGAAAGCGGCUUCCUGGACCAGCACCGACGUUCAGGCACGAAAGCGUGGGGAGCAAACAGG
rnacentral:rRNA from 1 species